rnacentral:rRNA from 1 species
GACAGAGGGGGCAAGCGUUGCUCGGAAUCACUGGGCGUAAAGGGCGCGUAGGCGGGAUGGCAAGUCGGUCGUGAAAUCUCUCGGCUCAACCGAGAAACGUCGGCCGAUACUGCCGUUCUUGAGGGAUGCAGAGGAGACUGGAAUUCCCGGUGUAGCGGUGAAAUGCGCAGAUAUCGGGAGGAACACCUAUGGCGAAGGCAGCUCGCUGGGACGUUACUGACGCUGAGACGCGAAAGCGUGGGGAGCAAACAGG